GUCCAUGCCGUAAACGAUGUCUACUAGCCGUUGGGGUCUUUGAGACUUUAGUGGCGCAGCUAACGCGAUAAGUAGACCGCCUGGGGAGUACGGUCGCAAGACUAAAACUCAAAUGAAUUGACGGGGGCCCCGCACAAGCGGUGGAGCAUGUGGUUUAAUUCGAUGCAACGCGAAGAACCUUACCUGGUCUUGACAUAGUAAGAACUUUCCAGAGAUGGAUUGGUGCCUUCGGGAGCUUACAUACAGGUGCUGCAUGGCUGUCGU
rnacentral:rRNA from 1 species